rnacentral:lncRNA from 1 species
GGCCUUCUUUUACUUUAUUUUGAAAAUAGCAAGCCAGUAAGUGAAGGAAUAAGUGACAUUUUAAAGGUCAGCAGAAUGUGAUUGUCAAAAUUCUGUUUAAUUACAUAGUUACAGCUCACCACACAAUAACAAAAAUUAAGGAAAUCAUAUACUAUUACAGUUCCAGCAAUAUCAAAUACUUUGUGAGUAAAAACCAUCAAUUUAGAUGUUCAAAAUCUUGAUCAUGCAAAAUUGUAUUCUUGAACUGCUUUUUCUUUUUUACAGUGGGGUGGGGGAAAUUUUAAUACUGUGCAACUAUAACAUCUUCCUGGUAGUCAUAUCUUUUGUAAAUUUCUUAAAAUUAUGAGUAAGAUGUUAAUAAGUUUUCUCUAUU